rnacentral:rRNA from 1 species
GACGAACGCUGGCGGCGUGCUUAACACAUGCAAGUCGAACGGAAAGGCCCUGCUUUUGUGGGGUGCUCGAGUGGCGAACGGGUGAGUAACACGUGAGUAACCUGCCCUUGACUUUGGGAUAACUUCAGGAAACUGGGGCUAAUACCGGAUAGGAGCUCCUGCUGCAUGGUGGGGGUUGGAAAGUUUCGGCGGUUGGGGAUGGACUCGCGGCUUAUCAGCUUGUUGGUGGGGUAGUGGCUUACCAAGGCUUUGACGGGUAGCCGGCCUGAGAGGGUGACCGGCCACAUUGGGACUGAGAUACGGCGCAGACGCCUACGGGAGGCAGCAGGGGGGAAUAUUGCACAAUGGGCGGAAGCCUGAUGCAGCAACGCCGCGUGCGGGAUGACGUCCUUCGGGUGGUAAACCACUUUCGCCUGUGACGAGGCGGGAGUGACGGUAAUGGGUAAAGAAGCACCGGCUAACUACGUG